rnacentral:tRNA from 1 species
GGGCGAUUAGCUCAGAUGGUUAGAGUGCCUGCUUGACAUGCAGGAAGUCACUGGUUCAAUUCCAGUAUCGCCCACCA